rnacentral:rRNA from 1 species
UACGGAGGGUGCAAGCGUUAUCCGGAUUCACUGGGUUUAAAGGGUGCGUAGGUGGGCUUGUAAGUCAGUGGUGAAAUCUCCAAGCUUAACUUGGAAACUGCCGUUGAUACUAUCUGUCUUGAAUAUUGUGGAGGUGAGCGGAAUAUGUCAUGUAGCGGUGAAAUGCUUAGAUAUGACAUAGAACACCAAUUGCGAAGGCAGCUCGCUACUCAAUUAUUGACUCUGAGGCACGAAAGCGUGGGGAUCAAACAGG